rnacentral:lncRNA from 1 species
CUGAUUCAGUGGCUUAAGUGAACUGCAAACAGUGUUACAUUGCUCAAUAUUUACAUUAUCCAGGUGAAGGGAUGGACUGGGGUAGGUAGGGAUUGUUGUUGCUUUCGUAGCAUUCUCUUGACCCAGUAAAUGAAAGAAGGAAGAAAUAGCUUGUGCUAUUCUCCGAGAAAGAUUAUAUGAUUAAUUAGACUAACCAAUAUGGAUUAAAUACUUAAUCUUACACAAUAGUUGUCUGAGAUUGAAUCUACAACCGAAAAAUCCUAACAAACAGCAUGGCAUUCAUUUCCUCAGCUAAUUCUCUAAUUGUUUGUACUUUUGGAAAAUGAUUUCUGCAACAUAUGCUUCUUUUUUCUUCUUGCUCCAGGAAAUUGAGCUUGCCAUGUCUGAGGUUGGAGUAAUUCAGACAAUAGCUUCAACAUCUACAAGCAGAAAUGUUCUGUCAUGCGGAAAGUUUCUAGUAACAUAAGAACACGCAAAAGUCUAGUAAUUUCAAAAUCUAACAAAGAUUGUAUAAAAUCUGUCAUCUGAUGGAUGCAGCAUAUUUAGCAUUGAAUGGAAAUACUUGGCUCCUUCACCAGCAGACUUUGAACUUCCACCUAGUGGAGAGAUUAAAAAAAAUGGAAAGUAAAAUAUUAAUACUUAACAUUAUAUCUUAUGUUACCUCAAUAUUUAAGGAGCUGGACUUUAAUCUUCUCCAGUGAUGCGACAACAUCUUUCAUGCUUGGCCUGUUUUCAGGAGAUUCUGCUGUGCAAUUUACAGCCAUGUUCAUAAUGGAUGAUACGCACUCCAGCUUUUCGCUUAUGUGUUGUUCCUCUGUACUUAGUAUGCUGGCAUCUACAACCUGAUCUAUGGCAUGUGGAUUUGAAUUAGCAACCCAAUUCCUCAAACUUAACCCUUCAGAAAACAUUUCAUCAGUGGGCCGCCUACUUGUAAAAGUUUCCAUCAACAUAAUUCCAUAACUAUAAACAUCACACCUCAUUGUGACUAUUCCUUCCGCUCCAUAUUCUGCG